ensembl:lncRNA
CUUCCAUGUACAUCUGCACACCAGAAGAGGGCACUAGAUCUCAUUACAGAUGGUUGGGAGCCACCACGUGGUUGCUGGGAAUUGAACUCAGGACCUCUGGAAGAGCAGCCGGUGCUCUUAACCUCUGAGCCAUCUCUGCAGCCCUAAAAUAAAUUUUUUUAAAUGAUAAAAAUUAUGUUUAAAGAUUUUUAGCCAGGUGUGGUAUUGCAAGCCUUUAAUCCCAGCACUCAGGAGGCAGAGACAAGCGGAUCUCUGAGUUCAAGGCCAAUCUGAUCUACAAAGUCAGUUCCAGUUCCAGUUCCAGAGAAACCCUGUCUUAAAAAAAAUUAUUUUAUCUCAUGUAUAUGUGUGCCUGAGUAUAUGUAACAUAUACAUGUGUACAGAUGAAGGAGGAAGCCAGAAAAAGGUGUUAGGCCCCUUAGAACAGGAGUUAGAGGCGGUGAGCCACCUGAUGGGAAAUGAACCUGGGUCCUUGGCAAGAGCAGCAAGCACUCUUAACCAUUGAAUCAUCCCCCGAGUCAAUAUGUAGCCCUGGCAGGCCUGGGCUACACAAUGAGAUCCGUGCUAUUCUUUUUUUUUUUUUUUUUUUUUUUGGCUUUGGAGGCUGUCCUGGAACUAGCUCUUUUAGACCAGGCUGGUCUCGAACUCACAGAGAUCGCCUGCCUCUGUUUCCCAGAGUGCUGAGAUUAAAAGCAUGCACCACCAACGCCCGGCUGGUCUGUGCUAUUCUUAUGGGGAAAGAGUGUUGUGAGGAAGGCUGGACCUUAAUAUACAUCAGAGUUGCUUCUGCAUGCUUCAAUGGAGAAGAGAAGGGACUCUGGGUCUCACUAUUUCUUUACUUCUCUCUAGUUCCAUCCAUACCUCUUGGUCUUCACUCCCCAUCACUAGCAGACACCCCCCCUCCUUUUCCUUUUUUUUUUUUUUUUUUUUAAUUCUCUUCUCCACAUCUUCCUCUCUCUGGUCUUGUCCAUCUUUCUCCAUCUCUCUCUCUCCUCUUUUGAGGGGGCUGGGAAUUGAACCCAGGACCUCUGGAAGAGCAGCCAGUGCUCUCAACCGCUGAGCCAUCUCUCCAGCCCCCUUCUCUUUCCGUUGCAUGUCUUUGUAACUAGACUCUGGGGAGCAUACCUCCAGCCUAUGUGUCUUUUAUCUUCUCUUUGCAGCUGUCUUCUUUCUGCUGAUCUCCCUGCCUCUCUCCUUCUAUGUCCUUGCCCUUCAUCUUUGUCUCUCUGGAUCUCAUGGCUCAGCCCCCUGCAGUCUCCUCCCAGCUGGCCCUUGUUUUACCACCUCUGUUACAGCCACACCUGUAACCCAUCUCUGCAUAUCUCUGGGAGACUGUGUUUCAUUGUUUCCAUCUUCUAACCUGCCUCUGCCUAGCUGGCUAGGUCAAGCUGGUCUCCUAGCCUGUUUCCCCCACUCCUUCCCUCUCUGGCUUUAAGACAAGGCCUCCUCCCUCUGUAGCCCAAGCUAAACUUCAAACUCAUAAUCCUCCAACCCACUUCUCCUGCCUCAGCUGCUGGGAUCAGAGGCAGGUAGCACCACGCCUGGCUCUGCCUUUUUAAAAUCUAGGUAGCUAUUUCACACCAGUGCCAUCUGAGUCCCUUAGAGGUCUAGUGAUGACCAACACAGGGCUCGUGCCAGCUCUCAAGGAACAUUCAUUCGGAUGGUAGACAGACAUUGGACGAGGAGCAGACCAGGCUGCAGGUGGUACUCAGUGGUGAGGCUCUUAGCCAGCCUGAAGCCCUGAGUUCUGUCCCCAGUACUACAAAAAGAAACAAAAUGAAAACAAAUAACCCCCAUUACCCAAGAUUCUAGCUGCCCAACUGAUCCUGCCAGGCACAGGAGUUGGCAGGCUUGAGGGCAAGCUGCUGAGUAUCCUGACGAGUCCCUAUCACUAAAUAGGGACUUAAGGCAGCUCAAGAAUUAGAGCCGAGUGUUUAACCCAUUUACGGUCUUUGAACAGCUUUCCCUAUGAUCUAGUUUGGGAGAGCCAGAAAUAAAUAGAAGCAAGUAAAAAACAAGACCAACAAACAAACAAACAAAAAACCCUUGAGGUGCUAGGGGAGGCAACAUAUGCUGAGCCCAGUAGGAUGGGUAGGAAGGAGGCCCUGGAGUCCCAUGAGGCAAGGGGACCCUUCACCUCCCCCUCUCCUCUUACACUGGUCUAUAUAGAGUUAAAACAGAUCUAAGCAGCUGUGGUAUUUUUCUUUAAAAAAUUAUUUUGAGCUACCAUUUGAAAAGGGCGAUAUUUUAUGUAAAACUCAAGAUCCCAAGCUUCUCAGAAAAAAAAAAGAAAGAAAGAAAGAGAAAGAAAAAGAUCUGGCCCCGUGGGGCGCAUCUCCACCUGACAGGAACUGCUGUCUCCUCAAGUGGGGGCUGAAGUUUCCACAUCCUGGUUCGUCCUUGAGGUCAAGGUCAAAGUCAAGCUGCUCCUGCCUGGCCACAGAGCUCACACUGUGGCUCUGCUUAUCCUGGAGAAAGAGAUGUCUGUGCUGCCUCCAUCCAGAGCUGGGUGUGGGUGUGGGAUGGUGACAACGAAAGCAGAGGGGGCACAGCCCACCGUCCAAGUUUGCAGGCCUCACCUCCUAGCAUCUCCUCCCUGAGUCCUUUCCUGAGUGGCCCCGUCCCCUCUCCUGCUCCUGGACUUCAUAGUCCCUCCUACACAGGCUGCAGCAUGAGCAAGGGUGGUGUGAUCCCAGCAGAAAGAGACGUGGGAGCCACAGAGGAGUUCUUCAUCAUUUUCAGCAUACAUUUAUUCAGUGCUUACUGUGUGCCAAGGAGUAUGCUGGGGGCCAGGAACAGUAAAGUGACAGGUAAGACCCAAGGUCAGUUGCUAUCAGUGACAUUAUGUGACCCUGAUGAACAUAAGAAGAGCACACCUUCAGGCCUCACUCUAAGGCUUGGGCUGGACCUUUGACAUGACCUGGAUUGUAACCUGCCUGGAUGCUCCUAGUAACAGAAAGGGACACAAUGGGCCUUUCCUUCCUCUGCCUCCAGGUGUUACAGCACACAGGCACACCAGUACAUCUCAGAACACACGCACAUACAUGCACACAGGUGUUACAGCACACAGGCACACCAGUGCAUCUCAGAACACACGCACUUACAUACACACAGGUGUACAGCACACAGGCACACCAGUGCAUCUCAGAACACGCGCACUUACAUGCACACAGGUGUUACAGCACACAGGCACACCAGUGCAUCUCAGAAAACACGCACAUACAUGCACACAGGUGUUACAGCACACAGGCACCCCUACACAUCUCUCUUGAUACAGGAACACCACAACAUCUCAGACCAACACACACACACACACACACACACACACACACACCUGGUCAAUCAGUCAUUCAAAAAGGUGGUAUAGAAGGACCACCCAGGGCUGGGACCUCUGCUCCUAAAACUCUUUGGCCAAAGACAAAAUGGAAAAGUGGGGAAGAAGAGAACUUAAGGCUCCACUGUAGAAGUUCUCAGGGGACCCAGGUCAGUGGUACUGACCUUACCAUUUUUAUUUGGCUACCAGUCUGGCAUAGUCAGUCACCUUGAGUCAGUGUCCUGUUACAUGAGGAGGGAGGGGAUGCCUCAUUCCCUGUACUGGCUGUCCUUCUCUAGUGCCAAGAUGGUUAAGUUUCUGUCUCAUGCUACACACACCAUGCUCAUGUGACUUAGCUACAGGUCCCCUUAGCCACUCUGUGAGGGCACAGAUGCCUCCAUUUCAUUGUAGGAAAUGAUACUCAAGAUUUUCCUGAAAAUGACAUAUGCUGCUAACCUCUGUGCUUCGCUCAGAGAAGUCAAGGUUAGGAAGUGACCCAUGGACCUGUCUUGGAACUUUCCAUGUAACAAUGACUCACUGCAGGGACCAAGGGGUACAGAUGGUAGCUGUGUUGGCAGGGCCAUGAUGCCUUCUUCCUAGAGGACACUGACUCUCCUGAACAUUUAGGAGGCUCUGCCCACAGAGUGAGUUAGAGCUUGGGGACAGUCUCACCUUGACCCUCAACCCAAGGAAGGGCUACAGGCUGAGGAUAAGCAAGCCCCCCUGAACCAUUCAGGCGCUCUUAUCCUCACAGGCCAUGGUCUAUGUGUGAGGAAAAGUAGCUAGUUGGACCCUGGUAACUUGCACAGAUAAGGAACCUCAAUGCCCCCAAAGCCCAUGGGAACCUGUCUUAGUGUCCUUCAUAGGUAACAGCACUGAGGCUGUAAUGGCCCCCAUAGCCUAGCUCUGUUGAGACAACUGCAGAGCUCUGAGCAGGACACUUUCACCACAGGCUGUCAUAAGCUUGUCCCUACCCAUCACCAGUCUCUCCAGAUGGUGUAUCUGCCUAGGCUGACAGGAAAAUGCAACAAAUUCCACUGAGCAGGGCAUAUCUGUGAACCUACAAUCCUUGGCACUCAGAAAGCUGACCAGGUCAAAGCCAACUAAAGAGACAAGUGAGAUCCUGCCUUGAAGCAAAGCAAAAAGACUCCCAUGACUCUACUUAGCUGAAUGUGUUUGUGCUGCUCUGGGACAGUCCUGUCCACAUGACUGCAAUACUGGAUGUGUCCCUCUGCCCAUUUUCAGUGUCUAUAGGGCCUAGGCCAGUCCCUUUAGACUGCCUAGCAUGUACAAGACCAUGGUAAGGGUUUACAUACAAGUGUUUACUUUUUUGGGGGGGUUUUUCUGUGGCUUUGGAGGCUAUCCUGGAAUGAGCUCUUGUAGACCAGGCUGGUCUUGAACUCAAGGAGAUCCACCUGCCUCUGACUCCUGAGUGCUGGGACUAAAGGCAUUUUUGCCACCACUGCCCAGCAAGUGUUUGGUUUUUUGAGAUAGGGUUUCUCUGUGUAGCCCUGGCUGUCCUGGAACUUGCUCUGUAGACCGGGUUGGCCUUGAACUCAGAGAUCUGACUGUAUCUUCCUCCAGAGUGCUGGGGUUAAAGGUGUGCACCACCACUGCCUAGCUAUGUGCAAGUUUUGACCAGAACUUAUGGAUUGCAGCAUGGGGGACAUAACACAAGAAAGUAGCUCCCAAAGGCCUGUACCUUGUCUUUGAUCUUAAUGAAGGUUGGAGCCAGCUGUGAAUAGGCCCCAGCAGAAAGUGAUGAGUGCAGUGGCCUAGAAGAAGCUAUCCUUGAUGUGUCUAGACCCUGUGGUCUCCAGAGGUGCAAGUGAGACUGGCUCUGCCUGUGCUCAUCAAGUGAAACCACAAGGCUGGGUGUCACUUCCUGUUCCUCCCAUCUCCAGAGCUUGCAGGACAAGGGGAAAGAUGAAAAGGCUAGUGCUUCUGCCCGUGUCUAGCCUGUGGUUCUGUCCUUAUCUCAGGCUACCCCCCUUGAGGUUGACGUGAUCUGGGAAUUAUUCCUCCAAGUACCCAUCAGCCUCCAUGGCUCAAAUGACCCUUGUACAAAUAGCUUGUCCCAUACCUGAGAAAGCUUUGGCUCCAAGACACGGGAGACCAUCCUGAGCUUGCAAAACCCCUUCCUUGGGUUUUACUGCUCUAUUGGAAGCUUGGCACUCCUUGGGCUGUUGUUUUCAAUGGGAUGUUUUGGCUUAGAGGGCCUUGGCUGCUUCAGUGACUGAGGGCCACCUGAUAGUCCUUGUUCUCACUGUGAGCAAGCUCCUCUCUCUCUCUCUCUCUCUCUGGGACAGUUUCUCCAAGCAUCUACUUUGUUCUAGGCUGCUACUGUAAUUCAAAGACACUAGGAAAACAUGUAGACUUUGUGCCAAAUCGGGGCAGAAUGGCCCUUGACUAGGGAGUUCCCUGCUGCUGGCUGAUACCUCUGAUCCUCAAGCAAUGUUGGCUCUGGGCUCUUUUCCAUCUGAAUGUCUAGUUUCUCAAUCCUAGGACAUUCCCUUAAAUUGUCAUGCUCAAAAGGUGUGGCCCCUCAGUGCUGCUGGGGACAACACAGGUCAAGUCUAACCAACCUCAGUAUGUCCCUAGCAGGGAGGGGCUUUGUCAGUAGUUCAAGCUACUUCCCUCUUCCUUUAUGCAUCUGAACCUCUGGGAGGCACCAGAAUCAAAUAAAUACACAGGCGAGGCCCAUAGACAAUCGUUUGUUGUUUUAAAAACACGGGAUCUCCUGGAACCCAGGUUGCCUUCAAACUCACUAUGUGACCGAAGAUGACUUCAACCCCUGAUCCUGAUGUUACCACCUCUCAAGUGUUGGGAUAACAGGCAUGUGCCACCAUGCCCAGUUUUAUUUGGGGCUGGGCAUCAAACCCAGGGCUUUGUCUAAGCUAGGCAAGCAUGCUACCAACUAAGCUACAUACUUGCCCUGCCCCGGAGUCUACAGUCUUAACACUGCAGGACCUUCUGCAAGUGGCCCCUGUGUCACACAUGCAGGAAGGGCAUGGCUCCUAUGUUUAGUCCCUCCAGGCUCAGCUGCGGGUCACACCCUUGUGUGUGAAGCGACUACAUUCCAUUCCUUGCUUCCUGAUGCUGGCAUUACAGGCCUGUGCCACUUUUCAUUAGCUCUACCAUUCUGACAGCACACUUGUGGAUUUUCUUUAAACAAAACAGGGUCUCAUUGUGUAGUCCUGACUAACCUGGAACUCAACAUGUGGCCUCAAACUCAGAGAGGAGCCUCUUGCCACCACACCUGGUGCUACACCCCCUUCUCAGACAGCUGCAAUGUUUACAAACAUGGGCAAAGCGUGGUGGGUACCCUAACUCUGCAUACCCGAUAUUUGACUAGACACUUCCCCAAAGAAAACGACCAUCAAGGCAUCACAAACCAGCACUCUGAGAGGUGUGUUUUUGAAAAUGCCGAUCCAGUUCUUUUGGGAAACAGAACCUAAGUCCUUCUCCUUGCAAAGAGUGAGCUCCACCACUGGACUAAAAGAAGCCACAGAGACAGGCUUCCAGCAGCUGUUAUGGGGGUAAUGACUUUACUGUUUAAACCGACUGGAGCCAAGAUGUAGCUCACUGUUACUACAGAGCCUACACUUGGCCUGGGGGCCUCUCACCUAUGCCCGCCCUCACUCCAUCCUGAAGCUAUUUGGCCUAUAGUGCUCCUGGAAUCACCACAUAACAACCCUUGGGGUUAUGAGUUGACAGGAAACAGAGAUGGAAGCUUCUGGACUGGCCUACCUACUUUGAACCGAGCAGAGGGAACAGCCCACCUUCCUGGAGUACCGGGCAGUCAGAGCUUUUCUUUGCCCAUGCCCCUCCCUGGACGUGUCACUCAGGACAGAGCACCCAGGUGCAACUGGGUUUGUCACCAGCAGAAUAUCAGAGUCUCACUAUGUAGCCCUGGAACUCUCCAUGUAGACCAGGCUGGCCCCAAACUCUGCCUGCUUCAGCCUUCCAAGUGCUGGGACGAAAGCAUGUGUCACUCUGUCUGGCAUUUUAAUUUCCCUUCCCCUCUCAAUCUUAAAAUAGGCAGAGUGGUCACUGAUAUGUGGAGGGUCAUCCAUUACCAAGAGGAAAAUGGAUUUAUUGCUUCAUAAAAAGAACUCUGAUAAAACUUAAGAGAAAACCAUAGACUUAAAAACUAAUUCUCCCCUCUUGGCACCCUAAGAGGUCUCAGACAGGGUCUCUAGGGGCUGUCAAAGUAAGUGGGUUAUUGAGCCAGGCAGGCCAGCUUGGCUUCUCCCACACAAACAGCCCCAGAGCCCUGAUAGAGUCUGCCAGCAGGGGGCACUGUGACCACAUGGUCACACACAAGGUCCCCAUCAUAAAGCAAGGCUGACUCUCCCAUCUUGAGCCUAUUGAAGG